GAUGAAGAACGCAGCGAAAUGCGAUAAGUAGUGUGAAUUGCAGAAUUCAGUGAAUCAUCGAAUCUUUGAACGCACAUUGCGCCCUUUGGUAUUCCAAAGGGCAUGCCUGUUCGAGCGUCAUUUGUACCCUCAAGCUUUGCUUGGUGUUGGGCGUCUUGUCUCUAGCUUUGCUGGAGACUCGCCUUAAAGUAAUUGGCAGCCGGCCUACUGGUUUCGGAGCGCAGCACAAGUCGCACCCUCUAUCAGCAAAGGUCUAGCAUCCACUAAGCCUUUUUUUCAACUUUUGACCUCGGAUCAGGUAGGGAUACCCGCUGAACUUAAGCAUAUCAAUAAGCGGAGGA
rnacentral:misc_RNA from 1 species